CCGCAGCAAACAUGGAGUUUGACACCUUGUGUCUCGUAUGGGACAAGACCCUGCUGGUAAGCAGUUGCUGGAGAAAAGCUGGUGCAUAAUCAACUUCUACCUUAAUUGUCCUGUGCAAUAUCAUCUGCAUCUGGGUUCUAUCCACAAAGCUGAGAUGCUGGUUUCCCUGCCUUUCAGGACUGCUACAGGUGUGUGUUUUCAAGAUCUGUUGGUCUAGCCAGCAUGCUGUAAGGGUAUGGGUAACAAGGUUUCUCAGUAAUGCUUCUUGUGCCUAUCUUUUACCAGACUAACUUGGUAUCAUUUUCUACUAAGAAAGCUUACUCUGUAUGCUGCUCAAAAUACCGGGCUGCUCAGGCAUUAGAGAGAGGCCUCUCCAUAGUAUUCGCAGCACUGUUGAUGGGAGCUGUUUGCUGGCCCUUGUGACUUUGCCUUUUCCCAAGGAAGUAUUGCUGGACUUGCCUGGUGGGUAGAAAAGCUGAGUCCCUGUGAGAUCAAACAGCUUGCUGCCUGGACCCUGGCAGAGCUGUAAUUAGAUGAGUGCAAAGUUGUGACCUUCAGUGUCAUCCUUGCUCUGUCUUAUGUGUUGCUUCUGGCAUGGGGGGGUGGUGGGGUGGGCCGGGGGGGGAAGUACUUUUUUCUGUCCAUAGGACAGAGGAAAGGGUGGUGGCUUGUUUAAGGCAAUUGGGAAGGUUUCUUCUUUGUGGCCUGGUUGCCUUGGGAGUCCACGUGCUGCUUUGUAAGGGAAGGUUGCAAGGAUGUCUUCCACCUUGAAAGGCAGGAUGGUGGAUACACAUACCUUCUCUUACGCUCAUGGUUAUAGAAGGUCACCUGGGUGUGCUGAAGCUUGCUAGAAUGCUUGAAUACCUGAACUACAGGCCGUGAGAUUCCUGCAGGCCCUGCUGGGGCUCCCAGCUUGUGUACUGGGACCUUGCUCCUGGGUUUGCUGGUGCCUGGAGGCAGAGACGUGCUGGAAAGGCUUUGGGCAUUGUGGCUGUUUCAGCCAGCACCCCACUCCUCACUCCAAUUAGCAGACUAACAGUCAUCAAAUAGUACUGACAAAAUUAAGUACUUCAAAAUAUUGAAUGAUAAAUGAUGUACCAUUUUUCUAUAGGACGAUGUAUGUAUGUUUAUCUAAAAGUUGGGAAAUGUCCAAGGACCCUUAUUGCUAACAUGACGGAUGUACUAAUUGUUAAGUCCUUAGAUUUGUUAUCUUUAAAAAGGCUAUCUGGUCCCAAGUUCCUGUUGUUUAUACAGCGUGGCAAAGACAAGGACUUAAGUCAUGGUCACUAGUUUAGUGAGAUAUGUAAAUGAGUUCCUGGAAAGUCAAUGAAUAGGUAUGAGUUGCUUGUAUAAAGAGGGGACUGAAAAACCCCCUCGGGGUGCAUGACUUUGGUGGAGCGAUCCCCCAUGCAUCCAGCGUUGCCGAAUAAUUGCUCACUCGAAUAUUGGUGACUGAUUCUUUAAAUCAAUUUGGUGACCCAGAUGGGACCUCCUCUGCUCGCCUGUGGGACCCAUUGAGCGGGCACUCCUUAGGGUACCCCCAGGGAUUUUCCUGGAGGGGCUCCUCGUCUCAUCUGGAUCACCGCAGGAGCAGACAAGGACUCCAUCUUACGGAGCGAAGCCAGGAGAACUCUUCACCAGUGCUGGAAUCCAGGGGCCUGGGGACCGUCAGGGACCCCGACUGCAUCUUCUGUCGGCAAGACUCCCCUACCCCUCGGCUUCUCACACAGGUGGACAGGACUUCUGCACAGCAUAAAAGGUAUUUAUAUUUAUUCUUUGUUUUGAAUAUUUGAUUAUCUUAAGAUUUGGUUUUACCCCAUAAGACGAAAGAUGGGACGCUCUCUUGCAGGGUUAGAAGAAGGGACGCCUUCUGAAAAGGGUAAUAGCCCUAUUUGAUUGUCUUAAGAUUUGGGAAGCUAAAAACUUCCUUUAGGUUGUCUUCAGAUUUGGGGAAUUCCUAGAAUGUAACAACUGAAAUAGCGCUCUGUGUCUUGUUUGUUCUAUGUGUUGUCUCGUUACAAGUUCAGAAUUGGAGUUAAGAAAUGUAUGUUGAAAAAAAUAAUAUUCUGGUAAUUCUAGGCAAAUAGCUGAAAACUUAACACUCUGCUUAAGACCAGAAAAAAUUAGAAUCUGUUUUUUGGCAACUGUUUAUUGAAAUGUGUACUUUGUGUGAUAAUGCGAACUGUCAGUGUUCCUAGAGUUGUAUGUAAGUGCAGGGUACCGUGUAACAUACUGCCUGUGUGACUGAGGGCUGCCCAGAGAGUGUGAUGUGUGCAAGAGACGCGGUGUCACUACGAAGUGAGUGGGGAGUCCCAAUCUGCGUGUCUGUGUUCCCCGCGAGGGGCCGGCCAGAGAGGGAUGGAGCAAUUGAAAAAUCGAUUUAUGAAGUGUUGGAAUGCAUCAUUAGAAAUUAGAGCGGGAGACUGUAGAAGAAUGGCUGCAGAAGCAUGGCUUUAGAAUCUCUGAAGAUCUGCACAAUCCAGGCCCGGUAUUAGAAUAGGCCUGUAAUCAGAAUUGUACUGAAGUUGCUGUGCUGAAGAUAAGAAAGGUAGUCUUGAGCUAUUCUUGAAUCCUGAGACUGAGUAAUUAUGUUGUGCCAACAGGCUGUGGCUGUAACAAGAUACAGCUGCUGGGAAAGCAGGUGCAGGGCCAAGAAAGAUAGGGAGUGGUAUGGGAAUAUAGGGAGUAACAAACUACAAGGCUGAAGCACAGCAACACAAUUAGCUACAUGGAUAGAAUGCUUAUUUUAGUCAUGAUAAUUAGGGGUGUGAGAACCACGCGUGUUUAGAGACUAUUAACCGAUUAUAUUUCUGCUUUAAGAAUAUGCAUGUGUAUCGGUUCUAUGUAAGUAGUGUUAGAAACUAAUAAAGUUGAGCAAGAUGCAUAACUCAUAUUGAGUGUCUUCUUGACUCCGGCGAACCCUUCUUCCAACAGGAGACUGGACAAAACAUUAGUGCUAACAUCAUUUGGAAAAAGCAUGAAUUAGCCUCUGCCCUUAGUGUCGUAGGUGCUGUCUGUAUACUCCAAAAAAGGGUGGCAAGUGUCUAAGAUAUAUUAUCUCCUCUGAGAGG